rnacentral:rRNA from 1 species
UGGCUCAGAAUGAACGUUGGCGGCAUGGAUUAGGCAUGCAAGUCGAGCGAGAAGGGUUUUGAAGCUUGCUUUGAAACCCGGAAAGCGGCGCAAGGGAGAGUAACGAGUAGUUAUCUACCCCAAGGCCCGGAAUAGCUGCGGGAAACUGCAGGUAAUGCCGGAUAAUAUCCCCGGAUCAAAGGUGUGAUUCCGCCUUGGAAGGAGACUGCUUUGUACUAGCUUGUUGGUAGGGUAAUGGCCUACCAAGGCUACGAUGCAUAGCGGGCGUGAGAGCGUGGCCCGUCUCACUGGGACUGAAACACUGCCCAGACACCUACGGGUGGCUGCAGUCGAGAAUCUUCGGCAAUGGGCGAAAGCCUGACCGAGCGAUGCCGCGUGCGGGAUGAAGGCCCUCGGGUUGUAAACCGCUGUCGUAGAGGAGAAAGGUCUGAUGAAGAAUCAGAUUUGAUCUAUUCUAGGAGGAAGUCCGGGCUAAGUUCGUGCCAGCAGCCGCGGUAACACGAACCGGACAAACGUUAUUCGGAAUUAUUGGGCUUAAAGGGUGCGUAGGCGGUGCGGUAAGUGCGGUGUGAAAGCCCUCGGCUCAACCGAGGAAUUGCGCUGCAUACUGCCGUGCUGGAGGGAGACAGAGGUAAGCGGAACUGAUGGUGGAGCGGUGAAAUGCGUUGAUAUCAUCAGGAACACCGGUGGCGAAAGCGG